GGUUAAGUUAGAAAGGGCGCACGGUGGAUGCCUUGGCACUAGGAGCCGAUGAAGGACGGGACGAACACCGAUAUGCUUCGGGGAGCUGUAAGCAAGCUUUGAUCCGGAGAUUUCCGAAUGGGGAAACCCACCACUCGUAAUGGAGUGGUAUCCAUAUCUGAAUACAUAGGAUAUGAGAAGGCAGACCCGGGGAACUGAAACAUCUAAGUACCCGGAGGAAGAGAAAGCAAAUGCGAUUCCCUGAGUAGCGGCGAGCGAAACGGGAUCAGCCCAAACCAAGAGGCUUGCCUCUUGGGGUUGUAGGACACUCUGUACGGAGUUACAAAGGAACGAGGUAGAUGAAGAGGUCUGGAAAGGCCCGCCAUAGGAGGUAACAGCCCUGUAGUCAAAACUUCGUUCUCUCCUGAGUGGAUCCUGAGUACGGCGGAACACGUGAAAUUCCGUCGGAAUCCGGGAGGACCAUCUCCCAAGGCUAAAUACUCCCUAGUGACCGAUAGUGAACCAGUACCGUGAGGGAAAGGUGAAAAGCACCCCGGAAGGGGAGUGAAAGAGAUCCUGAAACCGUGUGCCUACAAGUAGUCAGAGCCCGUUAACGGGUGAUGGCGUGCCUUUUGUAGAAUGAACCGGCGAGUUACGAUCCCGUGCAAGGUUAAGCAGAAGAUGCGGAGCCGCAGCGAAAGCGAGUCUGAAUAGGGCGAAUUGAGUACGUGGUCGUAGACCCGAAACCAGGUGAUCUACCCAUGUCCAGGGUGAAGUUCAGGUAACACUGAAUGGAGGCCCGAACCCACGCACGUUGAAAAGUGCGGGGAUGAGGUGUGGGUAGGGGUGAAAUGCCAAUCGAACCUGGAGAUAGCUGGUUCUCUCCGAAAUAGCUUUAGGGCUAGCCUCAAGGUAAGAGUCUCGGAGGUAGAGCACUGAUUGGACUAGGGGCCCCUACCGGGUUACCGAAUUCAGUCAAACUCCGAAUGCCGAUGACUUAUCCUUGGGAGUCAGACUGCGAGUGAUAAGAUCCGUAGUCGAAAGGGAAACAGCCCAGACCGCCAGCUAAGGUCCCAAAGUAUACGUUAAGUGGAAAAGGAUGUGGAGUUGCUUAGACAACCAGGAUGUUGGCUUAGAAGCAGCCACCAUUUAAAGAGUGCGUAAUAGCUCACUGGUCGAGUGACUCUGCGCCGAAAAUGUACCGGGGCUAAACGUAUCACCGAAGCUGCGGACUGUUCUUCGAACAGUGGUAGGAGAGCGUUCUAAGGGCUGUGAAGCAAGACCGGAAGGACUUGUGGAGCGCUUAGAAGUGAGAAUGCCGGUAUGAGUAGCGAAAGAGGGGUGAGAAUCCCCUCCACCGAAUGCCUAAGGUUUCCUGAGGAAGGCUCGUCCGCUCAGGGUUAGUCGGGACCUAAGCCGAGGCCGAAAGGCGUAGGCGAUGGAUAACAGGUUGAUAUUCCUGUACCACCUCCUCACCAUUUGAGCAAUGGGGGGACGCAGGAGGAUAGGGUAAGCGCGGUAUUGGAUAUCCGCGUCCAAGCAGUUAGGCUGGGAAAUAGGCAAAUCCGUUUCCCGUGAAGGCUGAGCUGUGAUGGCGAGCGAAUUAUAGUAGCGAAGUUCCUGAUUCCACACUGCCAAGAAAAGCCUCUAGCGAGGUGAGAGGUGCCCGUACCGCAAACCGACACAGGUAGGCGAGGAGAGAAUCCUAAGGUGAUCGAGAGAACUCUCGUUAAGGAACUCGGCAAAAUGACCCCGUAACUUCGGGAGAAGGGGUGCUCUGUUAGGGUGCAAGCCCGAGAGAGCCGCAGUGAAUAGGCCCAGGCGACUGUUUAGCAAAAACACAGGUCUCUGCGAAGCCGUAAGGCGAAGUAUAGGGGCUGACGCCUGCCCGGUGCUGGAAGGUUAAGAGGAGCGCUUAGCGUAAGCGAAGGUGCGAAUUGAAGCCCCAGUAAACGGCGGCCGUAACUAUAACGGUCCUAAGGUAGCGAAAUUCCUUGUCGGGUAAGUUCCGACCCGCACGAAAGGCGCAACGAUCUGGGCACUGUCUCAACGAGAGACUCGGUGAAAUUAUAGUACCUGUGAAGAUGCAGGUUACCCGCGACAGGACGGAAAGACCCCGUGGAGCUUUACUGCAGCCUGAUAUUGAAUGUUGGUACAGCUUGUACAGGAUAGGUAGGAGCCUUGGAAACCGGAGCGCCAGCUUCGGUGGAGGCAUCGGUGGGAUACUACCCUGGCUGUAUUGACCUUCUAACCCGCCGCCCUUAUCGGGCGGGGAGACAGUGUCAGGUGGGCAGUUUGACUGGGGCGGUCGCCUCCUAAAAGGUAACGGAGGCGCCCAAAGGUUCCCUCAGAAUGGUUGGAAAUCAUUCGCAGAGUGUAAAGGCACAAGGGAGCUUGACUGCGAGACCUACAAGUCGAGCAGGGACGAAAGUCGGGCUUAGUGAUCCGGUGGUUCCGCAUGGAAGGGCCAUCGCUCAACGGAUAAAAGCUACCCCGGGGAUAACAGGCUUAUCUCCCCCAAGAGUCCACAUCGACGGGGAGGUUUGGCACCUCGAUGUCGGCUCAUCGCAUCCUGGGGCUGUAGUCGGUCCCAAGGGUUGGGCUGUUCGCCCAUUAAAGCGGUACGCGAGCUGGGUUCAGAACGUCGUGAGACAGUUCGGUCCCUAUCCGUCGUGGGCGCAGGAAAUUUGAGAGGAGCUGUCCUUAGUACGAGAGGACCGGGAUGGACGCACCGCUGGUGUACCAGUUGUUCUGCCAAGGGCAUCGCUGGGUAGCUAUGUGCGGACGGGAUAAGUGCUGAAAGCAUCUAAGCAUGAAGCCCCCCUCAAGAUGAGAUUUCCCAUUCCGCAAGGAAGUAAGAUCCCUGAAAGAUGAUCAGGUUGAUAGGUCUGAGGUGGAAGUGUGGCGACACAUGGAGCUGACAGAUACUAAUCGAUCGAGGACUUAACCAA
rnacentral:rRNA from 1 species